GAUGAACGCUAGCUACAGGCUUAACACAUGCAAGUCGAGGGGUAGCAGGGUAGCAAUACCGCUGACGACCGGGGCACGGGUGAGUAACACGUAUCCAACCUACCGUUUACUCGGGGAUAGCCUUUAGAAAGAAAGAUUAAUACCCGAUAGUAUAAAGAGUUCGCAUGUUCUCUUUAUUAAGGAUUCCGGUAAAUGAUGGGGAUGCGUUCCAUUAGAUUGUUGGCGGGGUAACGGCCCACCAAGUCUUCGAUGGAUAGGGGUUCUGAGAGGAAGGUCCCCCACAUUGGAACUGAGACACGGUCCAAACUCCUACGGGAGGCAGCAGUGAGGAAUAUUGGUCAAUGGGCGUUAGCCUGAACCAGCCAAGUAGCGUGAAGGAUGACUGCCCUAUGGGUUGUAAACUUCUUUUAUAAGGGAAUAAAACGGGGAACGUGUUCCCCUUUGCAUGUACCUUACGAAUAAGGAUCGGCUAACUCCGUGCCAGCAGCCGCCGUAA
rnacentral:rRNA from 1 species